rnacentral:lncRNA from 1 species
AAACAAACUAACCAAAACAAAACCUAAACCUUCCAACGUUUGCCUCAGGGAUUUCCAAUGCACAUGACAUGUUAAAGGUUGUUAUCCCCACAAAUUUGAGUCAUCUUUACACAAGCACAUACUUAAUUAAAGCCACUACUCACUAGUUCACAAGUAAUCAAUUAAAACAAUGCUUUGAAUGUAGUAACAUGCCUUAGAAAGUUCCCUCAAUUCCUUACAAGAUAUACACUCUAUUUUCACUCAGAUUUUCUAACUCCACACCCUACACUAGUCAUAUGUGAGAAGAUUGAUGUAAAUAUGGAAACGAAUGCUCACAUAUAUGUAUCACAAAGAACGCAAUUUCUAGAGUUAAGAAGCAUGUUUAGAUAUGAUCUCAUGAAUGGAAUGCUACUACUUAGAUGCGAGAACCAGUGACACCAUAUGCUCAUACCAAAUUCAAACUCCACAAAUUGAAACACAUAACACUCAAGAUAGAAGUUAAGGGUUGUAAUGGGGCUUGGGGUGUUGGUUAACAAGGAAAGGAUAGGGAAAACAAACGUUCUUCAAGCAAUAGUAAGCACAGCAAUGAAAUUGAGACUUAGAAUUCACUUAGAUUGCAGAAAUUAACUUUAAAACACAAGGGGGAGACUUAAACAACUCCUUAGGGUCAAAUUCAUUGUUUUGGACCCUUACUUCAACAAACAAUACUUUGGAACUCUUUUUCUCAACUUUUCAACUUUUUUUUCAUUCUUCUCGUAUUUUUUUUUUCUUCAAUUUUUCUUUUCUUUGCCGUGCCUAUGGCACACAAUUCCUCAUGAAAAACACUUCCCCCACACUUAUUUUCUGCUAACAUAGAUCACAAGGAAUUCAAUUCGAAUCAUGCUUUACUAUGCUUUAAGAACAAGGGUAUGGAUAGUCCUAAUCUAAGGCUAGGUGAGGGUAAUGUGGGUUAACAAAGAAAAGGCUAAACAAGGCUCAACGGGGUUAAACUUAAACAUAUAAUGGAGUAGGGCACACGGCUUUUUGGCUAAGGUGGUGGUCACUACACAACUUCAUCUUGAAUAUGUGUUAUGCAAUUCAAUGACAUGCUUUGAAUGAAAUGGGCAUGAGUUCUAGCAUUUGGAACUAAAUGAUGAAACGCCUUCUAAGUAGUAACCAAGCAAAGAAUAAUGAGAUCAUGCAACGACUUAGAAAACAAAGAAUGCACAGAUUUUAACUCUCCAAAUAAACGUUUAGGCUCAAGUCUCACAAGGUUGUAGCGUUAGUUUGAGUUCCUUCCUUCAAGCAUGUUACAAAAACUGAUUUUUUUCUUUUAUGAUUGCAUGUGAAUUCAUAAGUUAUAACCACAACUAAGCAUACACAAAGAGUAAAUCAAACUUUCAUCCAUGUUAAUCACUCUCUUUAACAGCCAUGUAAUUACAAACCGAAUCCUCAUCAUUGUGUUGGAAGGUACCCUAAGACACAAACAAACACACAAAAACAACUCUUUUUGGGUUUUUAAAACAAAUUUUUCAAAUUUUUAUGUAAUUUUCGGAUUUUUACUUCAAAACACAUUAAAACACAUCAAAACUGCUCAAAAACACUUAAAAACAGCAAGGAACAAGUCUUCAAGUUUAGGGUGAUAAAAUCCCACGAAUUUGCAUCUAAAACACUUAGUUACCCCCCCACACUUAAAUCAAACAUUGUCCUCAAUGUUUCAAGCAUAAAAUCACACUAAAAAAAAAGAAACACACAAACAGCAACUAAAACAACUAAAUAGGCAGAUUCGAAAUAAAUAACAAAGGGAAGAGUUUAGGAACGCAAAUCUGGAAUUGGAGUGAUUCCUUGGUCUUCCUUUGUUGAAUUGCAUGGGUUGCCUCCCAAGUAGCGCUUUCUUUUACGUCUUGCAGCCGGACGAAAAACACAAUCAUGCCCUAUUGGAGCCCACGGCACUCUCAUACAUUGCAUCUUUGAACGGUAAUGGAUAGUGAUGUUCGUUGAUGGGUGCGUUGUGUUGCCUAAGGUUCACGUACAUGCGCCCACCAUCGGGGAUUUGCUUGGGUACCUGCACCAUAGAAGGGAACCACCUCUUAAUUUUAAUGGGAAUUGGAUUUGGACUAGGUGCCUUACCUUGGUGUUGUGAUGAAGUGGCAGCAACAUGAACUGUUUUCCUCAUGGUAUUCUCGGCCACAUGGGGUAUCUUAAGGGCAGUGGCCGUGGGGUCCUCAUGCUCCACUCCAAUUCCCUCAUCUUGCAUGGUUCUUGAAGCAACCUUUGUGUUAGGGGCUGAAUGAUCCGUCCCUAUCUUUUCUAUCGUAUCAAUAACACAACAAGAACGAACAACGUUAGGAGUCUCAAUGGAUUCAGGAAUUUUAAAACAAAUCAUAUCACCACCAAAUGCCAUAGUUACUUCUCCUUUGGCUACAUCAAUCUUGGUUUGAGCCGUUUUCAUGAAAGGCCGUCCAAGGAGAAUGGGCAAUGAAGGAGCAUGGUCCGAUUCAUCCAUUUCGAGGACAUAGAAAUCCGCCGGGAAGACUAAAUGAUUAACCUGCACAAGAACAUCUUCCAAAACUCCCUUUGGAUAGGCGUUAGAUCUAUCAGCCAAUUGUAUUAUUACACCAUCCUGUUUAAGUGCUCCUAGAUUCAUAGAUGCAUAAACAGAAUAUGGCAUAACAUUAAUAGAUGCUCCUAAAUCUAGCAUGGCAGAUUUGAAACGGGUAUUACCAAUGACACAUGGAAUUGUAAAGCUCCCCGGAUCUUUGCAUUUGGGGGGUAGUUUACGUUGCAAGAUGGCGGAGACAUUCUCGCUUACAUGUACCACUUCUUUCUCCCGGGCACGUUUCUUUGUCGCACAAAGCUUCUUUAAACACUUGGCAUACUUCGGGAUUUGCUUUAUUGCAUCAAGGAGGGGAAUGUUGACAUUGCACCUUUCCUAAACGUCUCUAGAACAUCUUUUUCCUCCUCUUCGUUCUUGGAUUGCAAAAAUCUACUAGGAAAGGGGACAUUCAAAGGAAAAACAUUAGUAGGACUUGAAUUUAACACAUUCUUACCCUUAUUGGACAGAUUUGCAGGUUUAGGGUCAUUGGAGGCUUGCGGCAAAGGUGGAACCACCCUUGCCGUGGGUUGCUUUGAUUCCUCCUCUUCCAUUUGCAAAAUUUCAUCCUCGUUAUGACCUGUUUUUGAUGAAGAACCUGCCCCAACUUCUUUUCCACUCCUUAGCAUGAUUGCAUUUGCGGUUUCAAAGCCUCCUUUUGGAUUCGCAAUGGUUGAACUAGGAAGCUUUCCUUGUUCUCUAAACUGCCCAACAAACUCGGCAAUCUGCCCAAUUUGUUUCUCAAGUUGAUCCACCCUUUUGUCUUGGAUUUGCAUAGCCUUAGCUUGAUCUUCCUGUCCAUUAGACAACUUAGUUAGUAUCUUAAGAAGUGCAUCAUUGUCAAGAGACGUACCUGAGGCACUUGGGCCGGAUUGGGCUUGAUUUUGGGGUGGGCCGUAGGUUUUGGGAAAGAACCCCGGGGGUUGUUGCCUAAAGCCUCCUUGGUUCUGAGGUUGCUGGGGCUCCCUCCAUUUGAAGUUUGGAUGGUCCCGCCACCCCGGAUUAUACGUGUUGGAGUAUGGAUCAUGCCUUGACUGAUUUUGGCUUUGAAACCCAAUGGCAUUCGCACUCUCCCAUUCGCCAUUCUCGAUGAGUUGAGGACAUUUUUCGGAGACAUGUCCUUGGAUAGAACAUACGCCACACACCACAGGUCCUUGUAUCUUCAUUCCCUCGGCCAUCUGUGAAACAAUAGAAGUAAGAUUAGCCAAUUGUGAAUGAAGAUCGGAAGUUGAACUUACCUCAUGUACUUGGUGCCGUGGGGGUCCCCUUUGGCCUACACCCUCGUAUUGUUGAGCGUUCAACGCUCUAUUAGCAAUCAAGACCUUGGCAGCCAUGGGUGUUUUGUCCACUAAUGCCCCCCCCGCCGAAGCAUCAAGCAUUUGACGUUCUAGAGGUAAUAGACCCUCGUAGAAAUAUUGCAAAAGCAACUCCUCCUUCAUCUGAUGCUGUGGACAAGAAGCAACAAGUGAUUUAAAUCGUUCAUAAUAUGUAGAGAAAGACUCACCUUCUUCUUGCUGAAUUCCGCUUAUCUUUUUGCGUAGGAGGAUGAUGCGAGAAGUUGGAAAGAACUUCUCCAAGAACGCUCUCUUCAUACUCUCCCAAGAAGUGACAGUGCCGGGAGCUAACUCAUAUAACCAAUCCUUGGCUUUAUCCAUCAAAGAGAAUGGAAAAGCCUUCAUCUUCAAGAUAUUUCCGUCAACAUUGACGGGAGUCAUACUAGAGCAAACUACUUCAAAUUCUUUCAAAUGUUUGUUAGGAUCUUCCAUGGACAAGCCAUGGUAUUUAGGAAUAUGAUGAAGCAAACUUGACUUUAAUUCAAACUCAUCCGUCUUACCUUGGGCAGCCGCGGGGUAUUGGAUGCACAAGGGUGUGCGGCAUUAUCCAAACCCGAGGCGGAAAGCUCCUUGAGUGUACGAUUGUCCAUGGCCAUGCCUUGGACUUCUUCAAAUAUCCCUGCCGUGGCUUCCUCCUCCUCUUCUUGUAUGUUUUCUUCAAGGUCAGAUUCGGAAUUGAGUGGAGGGUGUUCUUGCUGAUUUCUAGCUCUUCUCAAAUUCCUCUCAAAAUCGUCGUCAAAAUCCAAGAUGUUCACACGAAUCGGUUGAGAGCUUCUAGUCAUACAUUAGUACCUAAGAACAAGAAACAAAAUUAGGUCAGAAACUUAAACAAAGUCAGAAACAAAGUGAAAUAAAAGAAACAAAAACAAUCCAAGGGAUUAGCAAAAUUGCUAAUCCCCGGCAACGGCGCCAAAAAUUUGAUGUGAAAAUUAACUUGACACACAAAUUAAACCCUCUUUUUGUCAAAUUGUAGCAAAGAUGUAAGUAGGGAUCGUUCUAGACCGGGGAUUAGGAGGGAUUGCUAAACGCUUGGAAACUGACUUAAACACUCAAAAACAAAGUUAAAAACACUAAACUAGACUCAAAGAAUGCAAAACUAAAAGUUAAAACACUUAAACAAACCUAAAAACCAAAACAGCAACUAGAAGGCUCAAAACUGCCUAAAAACCACUUUCUGGGCAGUUUUGAGCACCUACACUAAUUUGGACGAAAUUUGAUGAAAACUUGAAUCAAAAUACUUAGAAACACAAAUCAAAACACUUUCUAACUAAUCUAAGACUUCAAAUUAAAGGGGGAUUUGUUUUGGACGAAAAUUAAACUAAAGAAAACAGAUUGGAAAUAGGGCAGAUUGUAAAAACGAUUUUGGUGAAAUAGAUGGUUAAAAGGCUAGUUAGGAGGUUCUUCUCCACACAUGUCACACUUGCAAACAAAACGAUUUUCAGUUGUUCUUCCGAUAAACUUAUGAAUACUCAACGCCCCAAGUUAACCGUGAAUUACACUAAUUAACCCUCAGUUUUUCCACAAGUUAUUAAGUUGGAUGAUUGCAUAUGACAACCCAAAACAUUCCCUACAAGUUCCCUACAUGAAUUGCAUAAUAGAGAUACAAGCAAGAAUCAUUACGUUCUAUGAAAAAACAUAAGCAUUGACGAAGCAUUUGUUACUAUGAAUUGCAUGAAACUUAUGCUAAGAAUUCAUUCAACGCGAUCGUUUUCAAGCGAUCUUCACUACUUGUGAUUAUAAGAUUGUAACUAUUAGGUGAAACUCCCUCAUAAUCUAGCAUCAUAUUCAUGCAUGAAAACUAAGCGUGCACUCUCAAUCAACAUACACAAAUAAGUUUAUCAAUCAAAUAGAUGAACGAAUUGAAUCCAUAACUUAUGAAAUAACAACUGAAUGUAAUCGAAUCAAAUUGCAAGCAUGUACAUGGUUUCGAAUCACCCCCCAACUAAGGGGGUUUAGUUCCUCAUACUCACAACACAAAGUUUAUUGAAUUGAAACAUCGAAGACAUAAGAAAGAUUACACCUAAAAUGCCAAAGAAUUCCACUUUGAAUUCUGCACAGCAAGCUCCUCUUUCUUCUUCUCCUUGCUGCGGCAGAGAGGGUUUAGGGGAUUUUUGGGUAGUUUUGGAUGAUUUUGGACGAGGGAGAAUGGUGGAAAAUGUCUAGGAUGGGUGUAGGGCACGGCUAGGAAGGUUUGGGGUCAGAAAAUAUGGAGUUGGGUGAAGGUUGGGCUCGGCAAAGGUGAGGGACAGGUUCUGGCGUGAAUGGAGUUUUCUGGAUGUGUUUUUGGGUUUUUGAAAGGUAGAUAGGAUAGUAUGGUGGUGCGGCAAGGUGUGUGGAAUGGUUUAUGGAGGUGGAGAAUGGUGUAUGGAUGUGUGGAAUGGUGCUGGAAUGGAUGGAAGCUGCGGCAAAAGGUGGGAAAGGUUGCUGGAAUGGGUGGUGGCUGCGGCAAGGAGGGGAUUUGGGUGAUGGUGAUUUUCUGAUUUGUGUAGAGGGAAUGAUGAUGUGCGGCUAGGGUUUAGAAAUAUAUAUAUAGGCAUUUAAAAACCCUAGCAAAUCAGAUUAGGGCCUCUAAAACACAAAUCCAUCAGAAAUUAGGUUGAAACAAUUAGACAUUUAGUGGGAAAAAGGGCCUAGGGUGCGGCUGGUAUGUGGGCUAAGGUUAGGGUUUCUAGAAACCCUAACAAGGCAAGGCAAAGUGAUUCUAGAGGGCCCAGGUGCGGCAUAGGAUGAAGGUCCAUAAGGAAUUUGGGUUUAGGUCAUCUAAAAGCCCAAAGCCAAGAAUAGAAACUCACGAAAAUGGAAACCUCCAAGAAUAGAAACUUCCAACUUUUAGAAACUUGGGUUGCCAAUUCCGGUUUAGGAAAGAUCAACCCAAAAUGGAAACUUUUAGGCUUAGCUUUCCUACAUCAAGUAGGAAACCUCAAAUCUUCAACUCUUCAAUUCCAUCCCAACCUUGUGUUCCAAGCAUGUCCUUUUCAAUCCAAGCUCACUUUCUUGCUCCAAAAGCUCCAACUUGCAUCAUUUCAUGUAAUACGUCCUUUAACCUGAAAACACAUGAAAGUAGCUUAAAAGACUACUUUAACGAAGAAAACAUAACAAAAAUGCAUAAGAACUAGCUAACUAAGGCGCAUAAAUAUGCUCCUAUCAAAUGCCGUGGUCUUCUCUUUGUAAAUUCGAGCAUUCUCAUAAGCUUCAUGCCUAAUCUCUUCAAGUUCACUCAAUUGAAGCUUUCUAUGAAUUCCAGCUUGGUCCACAUUCAAAUUGAAUGUCUUGAUAACCCAAUGUGCCUUGUGUUCUAAUUCCACGGGAAGAUGACAUGGUUUGCCAUAAAUGAGCCGAAAUGGAGACAUACCAAUGGGUGUUUUUAAGCCGUACGAUACGCCCGUAGUGCAUCAUCUAAAUGCAAGCUCCAAUCUUUUCUAUUUGGCCCAACGGUCUUCUUCAAAAUCUGUUUGAUUUCCCUAUUUGAAACCUUGGCUUGGCCAUUUGUUUGGGGGUGAUAAGGCUUUGAAACUUUAUGCGUCACAUUAUACUUCUUAAGUAGCGCCUCAAUGGUGUGAUUGCAAAAAUGAGACCCCCCAUCACUUAUGAGCACCCUAGGCAUCCCAAAUCUGGAAAAGAUGUUAGAUUUCACAAACUCUGCAACAACUUUAGAAUCGUUAGUUCGGGUGGCUUUUGCUUCCACCCACUUCGAAACAUAAUCAACCGCAAGUAAACCAAAAGAUGAAGGAAAAGAACCCAUAAAAUCGAUACCCCAAACAUCAAAAAUUUUAACAAGGAUGGGAACCUGCGACAUUUGGUCUUUUUGGCCUAUAUUUCCUGUCCUUUGGCAACGAUCACAUGUUAAGCAAAAGGUUCUAGCAUUUUUAAACAAAGUAGGCCAAUAAAAUCCACAUUCAAGAACCUUAAAAGCUGUCCUUUGGGUGCCAAAAUGACCCCCACAUGCAUAGGUGUGGCAGAAACUUAAAAUUGAAUGAAAUUCGGACUCAUGCACACACCUACGUAGAAUCUGAUAUGGGCAAUAUUUCCACAAGUAUAGGUUAACCCAAACAUAAAAUCUGGCAUCCUUUUUAAGUUUAUCACGUUGGAACUUGUUAAGAGUGUUGGGAACUUGUUUAGACACCAAAUAAUUGACCAAAUCAGCAUACCAAGGCUCACUUACCUUAAUGGACAGUAGUUUCUCAUCUGGAAACAUUUCUGGAAUGGGAAUGGACUUCUCUUCACCCACCAAUCGACUUAAGUGAUCAGCCACCACGUUGUCACUCCCUUUCUUGUCUUUAAUUUCAAUAUCGAACUCUUCAAGAAGAAGCAUCAGACGAAUGAGUCUUGGUUUUGCUUCUUUAUUUGUGAACAAGUACUUCAAGGCUGCAUGAUCAGUGAAAAUAAUGACUUUAGUGCCAAUUAAAUAAGAUCGAAACUUAUCUAAUGCAAAUACAACAGCCAAUAGUUCUUUUUCAGUUGUGGAAUAGUUCAAUUGAGCAUCAUUUAAAGUACGGGAAGCAUAAUAAAUAACAUGUGGCUGCUUGUUUUUCCUUUGUCCUAAAACAGCUGAUGCGAAAUAUAUAAGCACACAAAUUAAACUCUCUUUUUGUCAAAUUGUAGCAAAGAUGUAAGUAGGGAUCGUUCUAGACCGGGGAUUAGGAGGGAUUGCUAAACACUUGGAAACUGACUAAAAAACUCAAAAACAAAGUUUAAAACACUAAACUAGACUCAAAGAAUGCAAAACUAAAGGUUAAAACACUUAAACAAACCUAAAACACAAAACAGCAACCUAAUGACUCAAAACUGCCUAAAAACCACUUGCUGGGCAGUUUUGAGAACCUAACAAGAACUUGGACGAAAUUGGGUGAAAACUUGAAUCGAAACACUUAGAAACACAAAUCAAAACACUUUCUAACUAAUCUAAGACUUCAAAAUAAAGGGGGAUUUGUUUUGGACGAAAAUUGAAAACAAAACAGAAACUUAAAACUAAACAGAUUGUAAAACGUUUUUGGAUGAAAAGGAUGGAUAAAAGGCUAGUUAGGAGGUUCUUCUCCACACAUGUCACACUUGCAAACGAAACGAUUUUCAGUUGUUCUUCCAAUAAAUUAUAAAUACUCAACGCUCCAAAUUAACCGUGAAUUGCACUAAUUAACCCUCAGUUUUUCCACAAGUUAUUAGGUUGGAUGAUUGCAUACGACAACCCAAAACAUUCCCUACAAGUUCCCUACAUGAAUUGCAUAAUAGAGAUACAAGCACGAAUCAUUACGUUCUAUGAAAAACAUAAGCAUUGACGAAGCAUUUGUUACUAUGAAUUGCAUGAAACUUAUGCUAAGAAUUCAUUCAACGUGAUCGUUUUCAAGCGACCUUCACUACUUGUGAUUAUAAGAUUGUAACUAUUAGGUGAAACUCCCUCAUAAUCUAGCAUCAUAUUCAUGCAUGAAAACUAAGCGUGCACUCUCAAUCAACAUACACAAAUGAGUUAUCAAUCAAAUAGAUGAACGAAUUGAAUCCAUAACUUAUGAAAUAACAACUGAAUGUAAUCAAAUCAUAUUGCAAGCAUGUACAUGGUUUCGAAUUACCCCCCAACUAAGGGGUUUAGUUCCUCAUACUCACAACACAAAGUUUAUUGAAUUGAAACAUCGAAGACAUAAGAAAGAUUACACCUAAAACGCCCAACAAUUCUACUUUGAAUUUCUGACUUCAAGCUCCUCUUUCUUCUUCUCCUUGCUGCGGCAGAGAGGUUUUAGGGUAUUUUUGGAUGUGAUUUUGGUUUUAGAAGGGAGUUAGGAUGGUAUGGUGGUGCGGCAAGGGGUAUGGAUGGUGUAUGGAGGUGUAGAAUGGUGGCUGGAGGUGUAGACUGGUUGCGGCAAGGAGUGGGGAGUGGCUGGUUUGGAUGGAGGAGUGGCGGCUAAGGGUGUAAGGAUGAUGGUGGCUGCGGCAAGGUGGGGAAAUAAGGUUGGAAUAAUUUCUGAAGUAUGGAGAGGUGAUGUGUGCGGCUAGGUGUAGAAAUAUAUAUAUAGGCACUUAAAAAUCCUAGCCAAUCAGAUUAGGGUUUCUAGAAACCCAAAUCCACCAGAAAAAUAGGUUAAACAAUCAGAAAUUUUGUGAGAAAAGGGCCUAAGGUGCGGCAAUUAAGUGGGCUAGGGUUAGGGCUUCUAGAAAGCCUUGCAAGGCAAGGAAAUAUGUGUUCUAGAAGGGGAAAGGUGCGGCUGGUUAGUGGGAAUGUGGAUAGGGCUUCUAAAAAGCCCAAAACCAAGAGAAACUAAGCCCUAACCCACGGCAAGGAUGACAAAAUAUUCUAACACCUUUCUUUGUGUCUUCCAACGCUUCGGAACCUUCUAAUGUUGCUCAAACGCAAGGCCAUUCCGGUUUAGGAAAGAUCAACCCAAAAUGGAAACUUUUAGGCUUAGCUUUCCUACUUCAAGUAGGAAACCUCAAAUCUUCAACUCUUCAAUUUCAUCCCAACCUUGUGUUCCAAGCAUGUCCUGAUGUGUAAAUUAACUAGCACUCAAAUUAAACCCUCUUUUUAUCAAUUGUAGCAAUGUAUGUAAGUAGGGAUCGUUCUAGACCGGGGAUUAGGAGGGAUUGCAAAAUCACUUGGACAUGACUCAAAAACGUAAAAACAAGUUUUAAACACUAAAAUAGACUCAAAGAAUACAAAACUAAACUUUAAAACACCAAAACAAACCAAAAGACUCAAAACAGCACCAAAACACUCAAAACUGCCUUAAAAACACAAUCUGGGCAGUUUUGGACACUAAGCACCAAAUUGGACGAAUUUGGGUUUUAACUUGAAUCAAAACACUUAAAAACACAAAGUAAAACACUUACUAACUAAUUUGACACUUUAAAACAAAGGGGGAUUGGUUUUGGCCGAAUUUAAAAACAAAACAAACUUUGUAAAUUAGAACAGAUUGUAAAAACGAAUUUGAUUUAAAUGGGUGAAUGGAAGGCUAGCUAAGGGGUUCAUCUCCCCACAUGUUAUACUUGCAUACGAAACGAUUUCCAAUUGCUUUUCAAUAAACCAUGAAUUCUCAAUGCCCCAAGUUAAUUAGGUCCGCUUAAAUUAACCUUCCGAUUUUCCUAACGGUAUUGAAUUGGAUGAUUGCAUACGACAACCCAAAACAUUCCCCACAAGUCCCCUACAUGAUUGCAUAAUAGAGAUACAAGCAAGAAUCAUUAAGUUCUAUGAAAACCAAAAGCAUUGACGAAGCACUUGUUACUAUGAUUGCAUGAAACUUAUGCCAAGAAUUUACUUAACGCGAUUGAGAUCAUCAACCUUUACUACUUGUGAAUAUAAUUCCAAACGAUUAGGUGAAAUUUCCUUAUAUCCUAGCAUUCAAUUUAUGCAUGAUAAUUAAGCGUGCACUCUCAACCAACACACACAAAUCAAUGUAAUCCACAUAGAUAAGUAAAUUGAAUUCACAACUUAUGAAACGCAAUUAGAAGUAAUCAAAUCAUAACGCAAGCAUAAACAUAUAUUUCGAAUCCCCCCCUAGCCAAGGGGGGGUUUAGUUCCUCAUACGCACAAAACAAAGAGAAUUGAAUUUAAACAUUGAAAUCAAAGGAAAAGAAACACCUAGAAAUUCCAGCGACGCGAACUUGAAUUGCAUGAACUUCCGAGCUUCCUUCUCCUCCUCCUUGGUGCGGCAAGGGUCUAGGGACAGGUUUUAGAGCCUUAGGGGUAUGGAUGCAUGGUUAUGGAGGGAUGUAGUAGUGUUUAGGGAAAGGGAAAUGGUUGCGGCAAAGGUGUGGAGAGGGUUUGGACGAAUUUCUGGAGUGAUUUGUGAAUUGUGGCGAGUGGUGAUCUGAUUUAGGGGUUAAUAGGAGUAUAUAUAGGCACUUAAAACCCUAGGGUAAUCAGAUAUGGACUUGGAUAACCCAAAUCCACAAGGAAAUAGGUCUAAACAAUCAAAUUUUGCAAGGGAAAAGGGGUCCUAGGUGCGGCAGGGAUAGGAUAAGGUGAUAAGGUUUCUAGAAUGCCUUGCAAGGCAAGGAACUAGGCAUCUAGAAGCUAGGGUGCGGCACCAAUGUAGGGAUUUAAGGAUAGGGCUUCUAGAAAGCCCCAAAACUGAUAGGAAUUGCAUGAAACCCACGGCAAAGAUGUAAACUUUCUAGAAACUUCUCAUUUGUGUCCUACAACACUUUGGAGUCCUUCUAGCACUAGGAAAACAUGUCUCAAUCCUCCCUUGACUUGGAAUUCUUCUCCUUCUUCAUCUUGGAUUCCUUUUCCUUCUUCAUCUUGGAAAACUUCUUUGUUGCUGAAACUUGAUGCCAUUUGGAUUUAACUUUCCUACUUCAAGUAGGAAACCUUGUUUGAGUAGGAAUCUUCAUCUUCAAGGAAUCCUAAUUCAACUAGGAAACCCAUUUUGACUAGGAAUCCUAAUUCAACUAGGAUUCCAUCUUCACUUAGGCGCUUUCCUACUUCGACUAGGAAACCUUGUUCAAGUAGGAAACAUCAUCUUCAAAUCUUCAAUUUCGUCCAUCCUCUUGGCUCCAAGCAUAUGACAUUCAUUCCAAGCUCAACUUUGCUCCAAAAGGCUCCAAAAUGCAUCAUUUUGCAUACUUUGCCCUUAGAACCUGAAAACACAUAAAACUACCUUAAAAGACUACUUUACUUAAGCAAAAACACUAUAAAUGUACAAGAACAAGCUAAACUAAGGCGCAUAAAUAUGCUCCUAUCAUCUGGGAAUGUCUCUAUGAUAGGCACGACAUCCUCCUCAUGCACCAUACGGCUUAGGUGGUCAGCCACCACGUUUUCACUUCCCUUCUUGUCCCGGAUUUCGAUAUCGAACUCUUGAAGAAGAAGCAUCCAACGAAUGGGUCGUGGUUUGGCCUCCUUCUUGGUGAACAAAUACUUCAAUGCUGCAUGGUCCGUAUAAAUAAUAACUUUAGUACCAAGCAAAUAAGAACGGAAUUUAUCUAAAGCAAGUACAACAGCAAGAAGUUCUUUUUCAGUGGUAGAAUAAUUCAAUUGUGCAUCAUUUAAAGUCCGAGAGGCAUAAUAGAUAACAUGCGGCCUCUUGUCCUUCCUUUGCCCCAAAACAGCUCCUGAUGCAUAAUCGGAAGCAUCGAACAUAAGCUCAAAAGGAAGGCUCCAAUCCGGUGGAACUAUGAUAGGUGCCGAAGUUAGCAUGUCCUUGAGGUGAUUGAACGCCUUCUCACACUCCUUGUUGAAGAUGCCACAUCUUUCUGGAGGAGACGGCAAAGAGGGUUUGAGAUCUUGGAGAAGUCCUUGAUAAAUCGCCUAUAAAAUCCUGCAUGACCAAGAAACGAACGAACCUCUCGAACCGAAGUAGGAGAGGGUAAGUAGCGUACAAGAUCUAUUUUCGAUUUAUCCACUUCAAUUCCUCUUUCUGAAACAAUAUGCCCUAGAACUAUGCCUUGUCUAACCAUAAAGUGACAUUUUUCCCAAUUAAGCACAAGGUUAGUUUCUACACAUCGUUUCAAAAUUAUUGUGAGAUUUUCCAAACAUCCAUCAAAUGAAUCACCAAACACACUGAAAUCAUCCAUAAAUACCUCAAUAAUCUUUUCCACAAAAUCUGAAAAGAUACUUACCAUACACCUUUGAAAUGUGGCCAGAGCAUUGCAUAACCCAAAAGGCAUGCGACGAUAAGCAAAGGUACCAAAGGGGCAUGUGAAAGUUGUCUUUUCUUGGUCAUCCGGCGCUAUGACAAUCUGAUUAUAUCCAGAAUAACCAUCAAGGAAACAAUAAAAAGAAUGACCGGCUAACCUUUCAAGCAUUUGAUCAAUGAACGGCAAAGGGAAGUGGUCCUUCCUUGUGGUGGCGUUGAGCUUCCUAUAAUCAAUGCACACUCGCCAACCUGUUUGGAUGCGGGUUGGCACAAGCUCAUUCUCGGCAUUCUUCACCACUGUCACUCCGGACUUCUUUGGAACACAUUGCACCGGUGACACCCAACGACUAUCAGAGAUCGGAUAAAUCACUCCACAAUCAAGAAGUUUGAUAAUCUCCUUUUUCACAACUUCCAUCAUUGGAGGGUUGAGACGGCACUGAGCCUCUCGAGUUGGUUUAGCCCCCUCCUCUAGAAGUAUGCGAUGCAUGCACGUAGUCGGGCUAAUUCCCCUAAUAUCGGCCAAAGUCCACCCAAUGGCCGUCUUGUGCUCUUUCAACACUCGGAUCAACUUCUCCUCCUCUAGGGCCGUGAGUGAUGAGGAGACAAUGACGGGCAAUGUCUCGUUGUCUACCAGAAAGACAUACUUUAAAUGAUCGGGCAACGGUUUAAGCUCAAGUACGGGUGCCUGAAUCACUGAGGGUAACAACUUAUUAGUGGAAACUGGAAUUGAAAUUGGGUUAGAAGGCUUACCAUGGUGUUGAGGUAGUGACUCAAGGGCAGCCACUAUCUCGGCCUCCUCCUCACUUCUAGGCACGGGGAUUAGGAGGGAUUGCUAAACACUUGGAAACUGACUUAAAAACUCAAAAACAAAGUUUAAAACACUAAACUAGACUCAAAGAAUGCAAAACUAAAGGUUAAAACACUUAAACAAACCUAAAACUCAAAACAGCAACCUAAUGACUCAAAACUGCCUAAAAACCACUUUCUGGGCAGUUUUGAGAAACCUAACAAGAACUUGGACGAAAUUGGGUGAAAACUUGAAUCAAAACACUUAGAAACACAAAUCAAAACACUUUCUAACUAAUCUAAGACUUCAAAAUAAAGGGGGAUUGUUUUUGGACGAAAAUUGAAAACAAAAACAGAAACUUAAAACUAAACAGAUUGUAAAAACGUUUUUUGGAUGAAAAGGAUGGAUAAAAGGCUAGUAAGGGUCCAAAACAAUGAAUUUGACCCUAAGGAGUUGUUUAAGUCUCCCCCUUGUGUUUUAAAGUUAAUUUCUGCAAUCUAAGUGAAUUCUAAGUCUCAAUUUCAUUGCUUUGCUUACUAUUGCUUGAAGAACGUUUGUUUUCCUUAUCCUUUCCUUGUUAACCAACACCCCAAGCCCCAUUACAACCCUUAACUUCUAUCUUGAGUGUUAUGUGUUUCAAUUUGUGGAGUUUGAAUUUGGUAUGAGCAUAUGGUGUCACUGGUUCUCGCAUCUAAGUAGUAGCAUUCCAUUCAUGAGAUCAUAUCUAAACAUGCGUCUUAACUCCAGAAAUUGCGUUCGUUGUGAUACAUAUAUGUGAGCAUUCGUUUUCAUAUCUACAUCAAUCUUCUCACAUAUGACUAGUGUAGGGUGUGGAGUUAGAAAAUCUGAGUGAAAAUAGAGUGUAUAUCUUGUAAGGAAUUGAGGGAAUUCUCUAAGGCAUGUUACUACAUUCAAAGCAUUGUUUUAAUUGAUUACUUGUGAACUAGUGAGUAGUGGCUUUAAUUAAGUAUAUGCUUGUGUAAAGAUGACUCAAAUCUGUGGGGAUAACAACCUUUAACAUGUCAUGUGCAUUGGAAAUCCCUGAGGCAAACGUUGGAAGGUUUAGGUUUUGUUUUGGUUAGUUUGUUUCGUUUUGUUUUCUUUCUUUUGUUUGUUUUGCUCGAGGACUAGCAAAAGCUAAGUGUGGGGGAAUUUGAUAGGAGCAUAUUUAUGCGCCUUAGUUAGCUAGUUCUUAUGCAUUUUUGUUAUGUUUUCUUUGUUAAAGUAGUCUUUUAAGCUACUUUCUUGUGUUUUCAGGUUUAGCGGACGUAUUACAUGAAAUGAUACAAUUUGGAGCUUUUGGAGCAAAAAGUGAGCUUGAAUUGAAAAGGACAUGCUUGGAACGCAAGGUUGGGAUGGAAUUGAAGAGUUGAAGAUUUGAGGUUUCCUACUUGAAGUAGGAAAGCUAAGCCUAAAAGUUUCCAUUUUGGGUCGAUCUUUCCUAAAUCGGAAUUGGCAACCAAAGUUUCUAAAAGUUGGAAGUUUCUAUUCUUGGAGGUUUCCAUUUUCGAGAGUUUCUAUUCUUGGCGUUGGGCUUUUAGAUGACCUAAACCCAAAUUUCCUUGUGGACCUUCAACCCAUGCCGAACCCUAGGGCCUAAUCAUCUAAAAUCUGCCAUGUUAAACCCUAGUCCAUUUCUCCUAAACCCAAGCCGCACCUUUCCACCUAGAAGCCCUAUUUUACAAACCCUAAACCCUAGUCCACUUAAGUGCCGCACCUAACCCUAGCCCAUUGUUAAAAAUCUGAUUUCAUUAGGGUUUCUAAGUGCCUAUAUAUACCACCCUUACACCCUAGCCGCAGAUAUCAUUCCCUCUACACAAAAUCAGAAAAUCACCAUCACCCUAAUCCCCUCCUUGCCGCAGCCACCACCCAUUCCAGCAACCUUUCCCACCUUUUGCCGCAGCUUCCAUCCAUUCCAGCACCAUUCCACACAUCCAUACACCAUUCUCCACCUCCAUAAACCAUUCCCACACCUUGCCGCACCACCAUACUAUCCUAUCUACCUUUCAAAAACCCAAAAACACAUCCAGAAAACUCCAUUCACGCCAGAACCUGUCCCUCACCUUUGCCGAGCCCAACCUUCACCCAACUCCAUAUUUUCUGACCCCAAACCUUCCUAGCCGUGCCCUACACCCAUCCUAGACAUUUUUCCACCAUUCUCCCUCGUCCAAAAAUCAUCCAAAACUACCCAAAAAUCCCCUAAACCCUCUCUGCCGCAGCAAGGAGAAGAAGAAAGAGGAGCUUGCUGUGCAGAAUUCAAAGUGGAAUUCUUUGGCAUUUUAGGUGUAAUCUUUCUUAUGUCUUCGAUGUUUCAAUUCAAUAAACUUUGUGUUGUGAGUAUGAGGAACUAAACCCCCUUAGUUGGGGGGUGAUUCGAAACCAUGUACAUGCUUGCAAUUUGAUUCGAUUAACAUUCAGUUGUUAUUUCAUAAGUUAUGGAUUCAAUUCGUUCAUCUAUUUGAUUGAUAACUUAUUUGUGUAUGUUGAUUGAGAGUGCACGCUUAGUUUUCAUGCAUGAAUAUGAUGCUAGAUUAUGAGGGAGUUUCACCUAAUAGUUACAAUCUUAUAAUCACAAGUAGUGAAGAUCGCUUGAAAACGAUCGCGUUGAAUGAAUUCUUAGCAUAAGUUUCAUGCAAUUCAUAGUAACAAAUGCUUCGUCAAUGCUUAUGUUUUUCAUAGAACGUAAUGAUUCUUGCUUGUAUCUCUAUUAUGCAAUUCAUGUAGGGAACUUGUAGGGAAUGUUUUGGGUUGUCGUAUGCAAUCAUCCAACUUAAUAACUUGUGGAAAAACUGAGGGUUAAUUAGUGCAAUUCACGGUUAACUUGGGGCGUUGAGUAUUCAUAGUUUAUCGGAAGAACAACUGAAAAUCGUUUUGUUUGCAAGUGUGACAUGUGUGGAGAAGAACCUCCUAACUAGCCUUUUAACCAUCUAUUUCACCAAAAUCGUUUUUACAAUCUGCCCUAUUCCAAUCUGUUUUCUUUAGUUUAAUUUUCGUCAAAACAAAAUCCCCCUUUAAUUUGAAGUCUUAGAUUAGUUAGAAAGUGUUUUGAUUUGUGUUUCUAAGUAUUUUGAUUCAAGUUUUCAUCAAAUUUCGUCCAAAUUAGUGUAGGUGCUCAAAACUGCCCAGAAAGUGGUUUUUAGGCAGUUUUGAGCCUUCUAGUUGCUGUUUUGGUUUUUAGGUUUGUUUAAGUGUUUUAACUUUUAGUUUUGCAUUCUUUGAGUCUAGUUUAGUGUUUUUAACUUUGAUUUUGAGUGUUUAAGUCAGUUUCCAAGCGUUUAGCAAUCCCUCCUAAUCCCCGGUCUAGAACGAUCCCUACUUACAUCUUUGCUACAAUUUGACAAAAAGAGGGUUUAAUUUGUGUGUCAAGUUAAUUUUCACAUCAGUGGGGAAAUAGGGUUGGAUGAAUUUCUGAAUUGUGUAGCAAUGAUAUCCCCGCGGCAAGGAUGUAAAACACAUAUAUAUAGGCACCUAAAACCCUAAAGAAAUCAGAUUAGACUAUGGGCUAGGGUUUAGGUGCGGCAAAGGGCUUAAAGUCCAUCAGAAAAUAGGGUUUCUAGAACAUUAGGUGCGGCCCAAACCCUAGGGGAGAUAGAUUAGGGUUUAACUUGGCAGAAAUUAGGUGAUUAGGCCCUAGGGUGCGGCAUAGGCUUAGGAUCCACAAGGAAUUAGGGUUUAGAUCAUCUCAAAGCCCAAAGCUAAGAAUAGAAACUCACGAAAAUGGAAACCUCCAAGAAUAGGAACUUCCAACUUUAGAAACUUUGGUUGCCAAUUCCGACUUCUUUGUUCUUCACUUUUAUUUCUUCAUUUCUUAAGCUCCUUUGACCUUCAAACUCGUCCAUUCCUCGUGCUCCAUUAGCAUACACAACAUUCCGGCUCAAUUUUGCUCCAAAAAGCUCCAAAUUGCAUCAUUUCAUGUAAUAUGUCCUUUAAACCUGAAAACACAUGAAAGUAGCUUAAAAGACUACUUUAACGAAGAGAACAUAACGAAAAUGCAUAAAAACUAGCUAACUAAGGCGCAUAAAUAUGCUCCUAUCAAAUUCCCCCACACUUAGCUUUUGCUAGUCCUCGAGCAAAACAAAGAAACAAAAGAAAAACAAAAUGAAACAAAACAAACAAAACACAACCUAAACCUUCCAACGUUUGCCUCAGGGAUUUCCAAUGCACAUGACGUAUUAAAGAUUGUUAUCCCCACAGAUUUGAGUCAUCUUUACACAAGCACAUACUUAAUUAAAGCCACUACUCACUAGUUCACAAGUAAUCAAUUAAAACAAUGCUUUGAAUGUAGUAACAUGCCUUAGAGAAUUCCCUCAAUUCCUUACAAGAUAUACACUCUAUUUUCACUCAGAUUUUCUAACUCCACACCCUACACUAGUCAUAUGUGAGAAGAUUGAUGUAGAUAUGAAAACGAAUGCUCACAUAUAUGUUUCACAAAGAACGCAAUUUCUAGAGUUAAGAAGCAUGUUUAGAUAUGAUCUCAUGAAUGGAAUGCUACUACUUAGAUGCGAGAACCAGUGACACCAUAUGCUCAUACCAAAUUCAAACUCCACAAAUUGAAACACAUAACACUCAAG